GACGGAGGGUGCUAGCGUUGUUCGGAUUUACUGGGCGUAAAGGGCGCGUAGGCGGCCUUCUCAGUCGGGUGUGAAAGCCCGGGGCUCAACCCCGGAACGGCACCCGAGACGGGUUGGCUGGAGACCGGGAGAGGAGGGUGGAAUAGCCAGUGUAGAGGUGAAAUUCGUAGAUAUUGGCUGGAACACCGGUGGCGAAAGCGGCUCUCUGGCCCGGUUCUGACGCUGAGGCGCGAAAGCGUGGGGAGCAAACAGG
rnacentral:rRNA from 2 species